UGGGAAGCAUUGUUGAGUUAGAGUGUCUCUC
rnacentral:piRNA from 1 species